rnacentral:rRNA from 1 species
UGGGGAAUAUUGGACAAUGGGCGCAAGCCUGAUCCAGCCAUGCCGCGUGAGUGACGAAGGCCUUAGGGUUGUAAAGCUCUUUUGGCGGGGAAGAUAAUGACGGUACCCGCAGAAUAAGCUCCGGCUAACUUCGUGCCAGCAGCCGCGGUAAUACGAAGGGAGCUAGCGUUGUUCGGAAUCACUGGGCGUAAAGCGCACGUAGGUGGGCAGUUAAGUCAGGGGUGAAAGCCCGAGGCUCAACCUCGGAAUUGCCUCUGAUACUGGCUGUCUAGAGUUCGAGAGAGGUGAGUGGAAUUCCUAGUGUAGAGGUGAAAUUCGUAGAUAUUAGGAAGAACACCGGUGGCGAAGGCGGCUCACUGGCUCGAUACUGACACUGAGGUGCGAAGGCGUGGGGAGCAAACAGGAUUAGAUACCCAAGUAGUCCCUGAGCGGGCUGGCAAGGCGCAU